rnacentral:rRNA from 1 species
UACGUAGGGGGCGAGCGUUGUCCGGAGUUACUGGGCGUAAAGCGCUUGUAGGCGGUCCACCAAGUUUGGGGUGACAGUUGCCGACUUAAUCGGCAAAGUGCCUCAAAGACUGGCGGACUUGAGGGCCACAGAGGGACAUGGAACUCCAGGUGUAGUGGUGAAAUGCGUAGAUAUCUGGAAGAACACCAAAGGCGAAGGCAGUGUCCUGGGUGGUCGCUGACGCUGAGGAGCGAAAGCGUGGGGAGCAAACAGG